AUUGAACGCUAGCGGCAGGCCUAACACAUGCAAGUCGAGCGAGCGGCGGACGGGUGAGUAAUGUAUGGGGACUGCCCGAUAGAGGGGGUUAACUACUGGAAACGGUAGCUAAUACCGCAUACUAUCGGAUAACCCAUAUGGGAUUAGCUAGUAGGUGGGGUAAAGGCUAGCCUAGGCGACGAUCUCUAGCUGGUCUGAGAGGAUGAUCCGCCACACUGGAACGGAGACACGGCCCAGACGCCUACGGGGGCAGCAGUGGGGAAUAUUGCACAAUGGGCGCAAGCCUGAUGCAGCCAUGCCGCGUGUAUGAAGAAGGCCUUAGGGUUGUAAAGUACUUUCAGCGGGGAGGCGUUACCCGCAGAAGAAGCACCGGCUAACUCCGUGCCAGCAGCCGCGGUAAUUC
rnacentral:rRNA from 1 species